rnacentral:rRNA from 1 species
GAUGAACGCUGGCGGCGUGCUUAACACAUGCAAGUCGAACGAAGCACUUUAACCUGAUUCUUCGGAUGAAGGUUUUUGUGCCUGAGUGUCGGACGGGUGAGUAACGCGUGGGUAACCUGCCUCAUACAGGGGGAUAACAGUUAGAACUGACUGCUAAUACCGCAUAAGACCACAGAGCCGCAUGGCUCGGUAGGAAAAACUCCGGUGGGAUGAUAUGGACCCGCGUCUGAUUAGGUAGUUGGCGGGGUAACGGCCCACCAAGCCAACGACCAGUAGCCGAGCUGGGAGCGUGACCGGGAACAUUGGGGCUGGGACCAGUAGCAAACCCCCGGGGAUGGGAGCAAUGGGGAACAAGGCACGAUGCGGGAAAGACGGAGGCAGCCACGUCGCGUGGGUGUGGAAGUAGUGCGGUAUGUAAAUCUGUAUGAGCAGGGAAGACAAUGACGGUACCUGACCAAGAAGCACCGGCUAAAUACGUG